rnacentral:lncRNA from 12 species
CCCCCCCCCCCCCCCCCCCCCCCCCCCCCCCCCCCCCCCCCCCCCCCAUUUCCCUUUCCUGAAAUCCCUUCCCCCGGUAUCCCCAAGCCACUCCCAGUUUGCCCCCGGUAUCCCCAAGCCACUCCCAGUCUGUCCCCAGUAUCCCCAAGCCACUCCCAGUUCGCCCCCGGUAUCCCCAAGCCACUCCCAGUUUGUCACCAGCCCAUUCCCACUUGCACCAGUUUGUCCCAAGUCCAUUCCCAGAGUCCUCAAGCCAUUCCCAGUUUGUCACCAGUUUGCCCCCAGUGCCCCCAAACCAUUCCCAGUUUGUCCCCAGUAUCCCCAAGCCAUUCCCAGUCUGUCCCCAGUGUCCCCAAGCCAUUCCCAGUUUGUCACCAGUUUGUCCCCAGUGUCCCCAAGCCAUUCCCAGUUUGUCACCAGUUUGUCACCAGUGUCCCCAGCCCAUUCCCAGUGUCCCCAGUUUGUCCCCAGUGUCCUCAAACCAUUCCCAGUUUGUCCCUAGGUCACUCAUAGUUUCUCCUGUUUGUCACCAGUCCCUCCCAGUGUCCCCAGUUUGUCACCAGUUUGUCCCCAGUGUCCCAAAACCAUUCCCAGUUUGUCCCCAAACCAUUCUCAGUUUGUCCCCAGUCCCUCCCAGUUUGUCCCCAGUAUCCCCAGCCCAUUCCCAGUGUCCCCAGUUUGUCCCCAGUGUCCCCAGAGGGUCCCCAGCCCCUCCCAGUGUCGCCAGUCUGUUCCCAGUGUCCCCAAGCCAUUCCCAGUUUGUCCCCAGUUUCUCCCCACCCCAUCCCAGUUACCUCCCAGUCCCCCCCAGUCCCUUGCAAUCCCCUCCCAGUCCCCCCCAGUUUAUC